rnacentral:rRNA from 1 species
UGGCAGGAGAUACAGGAUGAGUUGUUUCCAGGCCAAACCCCACAGGACCGACCAGAUCUGGUGGCCCGAGUGUUCAAGUCCAAGCUGGAGACAAUGAAAGAUAUGCUGAAAAAGAAAAAUAUACUAGGCGUUCUGAACGCGUACAUAUAUGUGGCAGAGUUCCAGAAGAGGGGCCUCCUGCAUGCCCAUUUCCUGUUGAUAAUGGAUUCAAGAUAUAAGCUUCUUGUGCCAGAGCAGUAUGAUCGUCUCACAUCUGUCGAGCUCCCAGACAAGCAUAAGUACCCGGAGCUCUACGCCAUGGUCGUGAAGCAUAUGAUGCACGGCCCAUGCGGGGUCCUGAACCCCAACAACGUGUGCAUGCAAGAGGGGUUGUGCAAAUGCAGGUACCCACGGGAUUUCAACGAGACCAUCGUAUAG